UCCAGACUCCUACGGGAGGCAGCAGUGAGGAAUAUUGGUCAAUGGGCGCGAGCCUGAACCAGCCAAGUAGCGUGAAGGAUGACUGCCCUACGGGUUGUAAACUUCUUUUAUAAAGGAAUAAAGUGAGGCACGUGUGCCUUUUUGUAUGUACUUUAUGAAUAAGGAUCGGCUAACUCCGUGCCAGCAGCCGCGGUAAUACGGAGGAUCCGAGCGUUAUCCGGAUUUAUUGGGUUUAAAGGGUGCGUAGGCGGAAUGCCAAGUCAGCGGUAAAAUCGCGGGGCUCAACCUCGCUCCGCCGUUGAAACUGGCGUUCUUGAGUGGGCGAGAAGUAUGCGGAAUGCGUGGUGUAGCGGUGAAAUGCAUAGAUAUCACACAGAACACCGAUUGCGAAGGCAUCUCACGAAUCCGCGAUUGACGCUGAUGCACGAAAGCGUGGGUAUCAAACAGGAUUAGAUACCCGCGUACA
rnacentral:rRNA from 1 species